rnacentral:rRNA from 1 species
CACCUCGGGUGACAGGGAGACAGGUGGUGCAUGGUUGUCGUCAGCUCGUGUCGUGAGAUGUUGGGUUAAGUCCCGCAACGAGCGCAACCCCUACGUUUAGUUGCUAACGCGUGAAGGCGAGCACUCUAGACGAACUGCCGUUGACAAAACGGAGGAAGGUGGGAUGACGUCAAAUCAUCAUGCCCCUUAUGUUCUGGGCUACACACGUGCUACAAUGGCCGGUACAGACGGACGCAAAGCCGCGAGGUGGAGCAAAUCCUAAAAAGCCGGUCUCAGUUCGGAUUGCAGGCUGCAAUUCGCCUGCAUGAAGUCGGAAUCGCUAGUAAUCGCAGGUCAGCAUACUGCGGUGAAUACGUUCCCGGGCCUU